UCCUGGUUAGCUCAGUUGGUAGAGCGCUUCACCGGAAAUGGAGAGGUCCCUAGUUUGAUAUUAGGACCAGGCG
rfam:Ixodes scapularis strain Wikel colony gcontig_1108379804582, whole genome shotgun sequence.